GAGAGCACCGGAAAAUAAAAUGCAGAGAUUCCGCAGUCCCGCGCAACUGCAGCUUUCCCAAGGCGAUUUGUUUCCACAGGUGAAUGAAUAAUUGGAACAAAUAUUAGAAUAUCUCUCUCCAAUAAUAAAUAUCUCAUGCCCCUUACGUAAAACUAAAGGUGUUGAAGGAAGCCUUUACGCUUUAUGCAGCAAGCUGGAUACGGGACAUAGGUCCCGAUCUUCGGCCAAGCGAUUAUAAGAAGGAUGAUGGGAGCCAAAAUAUACUUGAUGGAGCAGAAAGUGCUACUAAAGAGAAAGAACAUUCAGUGCUGGAAUCUCUUGGUUGAAAAGCUAUAUCCUGUGCUUUUUGUUGGCUAUUAGUGAACCCAGAUUUUUCAGUAAAUGGUUUCAAGACAUGAGCUGUAGCCGCAAAAUGAGGUAUGGAAAAAAUUAAGGCCUGCUUUGCAGCGAGGUUACAUGACAAGAGCUUCUGCAUAUAGAGAUGCUCUCAAGAAUUUAAUCGAAGGAUAUUAAGGAGUCCGGCAGGUCAUGGAGAAGAAGGAAGAUGCAAAAAAUCAUGAAGGAGGCAAUGCAUCAAAAAAAUCAACUUGACUACCUAGUAUUCUAUGGCGGAAUGAUGUGUAUCCAUGUGUCUGGAAGACUGUAGGCUCAUCGGAUGUACCAUCAGCUUUAUUUGAGAGAAUGACCAGCAUGAUCGAUCAAAGCUGAGGGUUUAACUGUACUUUGAACUGACAUCCGAGAUAUGUACUUGAUGAUCCUUUGUAAAUAUAAUGUUAUUCCCCACUACCCAUUUCUAGUGCUGUGGAGUGUUCUUUCCCCACUAUCUAUUUCAUGAUUCGAGUUUACUACAUCAUUGGGUUUUGGUCUUUCUUUAUAUUAAUUACUUUUAAUAUCUGUUUAUUUCCAUCAAAACUGAGUUGUGUUUCAUGUAGAUAGAUAAUAAAAAAAAAAAUGUAAUAAUUUUGAUAUAACUGCUGUGUCUAUGAUGUUUGUUGUUUUGAAUGCCUGAUAGGUGCUACCAGCAGCUCAAUAGUGUGAGUUCGUUUGUAAUAUGUAUUAUGUUGUGUUAUGGGACAGAAGCAAGAGGUUUCUGGAUGGAUCCAAAUUUAGAUCAACUGUCAGUGGUGCUUAUGCAAGUCUUUGACAUAUACUUUGAAUGGGGAAAAGCAGCACAUACUCAUGGAGUUGCAGAAGCCCAAGAAGUUGAUGAAAUGUUGUCAUCAUGAAUGGAAAUUCGGUGGUCCUGCAAAAUCUUUAUACCAUUUUAGUUGCAAGUGAAAGUAAAAGUGAUGUUGACCCACAAGCAAAAGGCCUGAUGAGAGGAAAGUGAAGUGGGAUAAAGAAAAACUCACAAGGUCUUUCUACAUUUUCUACUAUUCUUAGUCGUUGCAUGAUUAGAUAAUCCUUGCAGCACAAACCCAUAACAGCGGAGGCCAUUUGUUCUCUCCAUUAAUUGGCCACUUCUUGACGGGCAACUAUAACAAACACAUCUGGGGGCCCUCCCACUUGCAGAGCCACUAAACAUUGGAUUCUAUCACGAGCGAAGGUCAAAGGGUUAUCUUCCAUGUCUCGAUCUUUAUGGGCCCUGAUAAUCACUUGACACUGUAUUUGAUUAUUUGCUCAGGUGAUGUACACAUCUUUGUUUCUAAAUUUACCUACCUGUACUGUUGAAUUUCAUUAAUUCACUUUUAAGUUGUUCUUUAGAUUGGGUGGGUGUAGAAUAAAAUCCUGUAGGCAGCAGUGCACUCUUGUAUGUUUAUUUUCUCAGCAAAGAUCAUUGAAAGUUGUGGAGGAAGUAUAUGUUGCUGAAAGCCUGAAACAUGAUAGUUUACAGUUUGAAGUUGAGGGGCAUGAUACAGCCUAAAAAUGCUUCUUCCACCUAUUAUUUUUAGUCUAUUAGAUUAGCAUCUUGGUAUUAUAUGAAUGCAAUCAGUUCAUCUUGCAACUGCCUUUUCACGGAUUUGCUGGCACAGUUAACGACGUAGGAAAGAUUGCACACUUUUGACUAAGUAGUAGUUCCUGACUAGAUGCCUGCUUGUUUGAAAUUAGGAUUUUGAAUUUAGAGAGCUUGAAGUGAAAGUCUACCUUGACUGUUGGUAGUCUCUUUUGCAAAAUAAAGUGGAACUUUUGAGAGGUAUAUUUAGGUUGGAGCAACAUGAAUUAGUUGGUGUAGGUUGAAGUGGAAUGCACUAUAUCUUUCAUGCAUGCGUGAUGUUAUGAGGGCAUGUAUAGGUGCGAGGAUCCUCUCAUGGGGAUUUUGAUGUUGGGUUUUCUCUUGUUGCCAAAGACACCAGAGCCAGUCAAAUGCCACUGGAACCUUUGUGGCAGAGAUAACUUUUAGUCAAAUAGAUUCACAUGCCAAAUGGUGAUAAAGAACGUUUUCAGGCGAGCAUACCAUGUAAUGCAAUUUUAAGGUCAUCAUAAUAAUGUCUGUUGCUGAUUUUUCUUGACUUUCAGUUGUCUGAUUUUAUAUGCUUUAAUGUGCAGGUGCCUAAGACAAUGAAGAUCCCUAUGAACCCCAUCAUCAUCAUCAACAAAAUAAGUCUUUUUUUCUAUUUGGUUGACAAUUAAAAUUACAAAGUAGAUUAACUGAAGCUUCAAGCUGCUUUUUCCUUUCACUGCAGGGGAAAGUGGAGCAUCAAAAUCAGAUUGGCUACAUAUGGACAAAGGUUAUUAGGUAAAUGUGGAGUGGAGUGGAGGGAGGAGUGGGCUAAUACUACUACUACUACUACUACUACUACUCUUUGGGCUGUCAUACAUAUAUCAUCCAUCUAUUCAACAGUACACCAACUCCCCCACCACCACUACAAAAGAACCAUUAUUAUGGAAAAUCUUCAGGGAGAGGAGAAUCUCAACAGGGGCAGCAAAUAGAUUCCUUUCAGAAAAUUUUCCAACAUCUUAAAAGUCUCAUGUGCUGACGUCACUUGGGUCCCACUUUCCAUCCCUUUCCUUCUGUGCUCUCUAUACCUUCCCACUUC